rnacentral:rRNA from 1 species
UACGUAGGGUGCAAGCGUUGCCGGAAUUAUUGGGCGUAAAGAGCUCGUAGGCGGUCUGUCGCGUCUGCUGUGAAAACUCGGGGCUUAACCCCGGGCCUGCAGUGGGUGACGGGCAGACUAGAGUGCGGUAGGGGAGACUGGAUUCCUGGUGUGCGGUGAAAUGCGCCAGAUAUCAGGAGGAACACCGGUGGCGAAGGCGGGUCUCUGGGCCGUAACGACGCUGAGGAGCGAAAGCAUGGGGAGC